rnacentral:rRNA from 1 species
UGAUCCUGGCUCAGCCGAAUUCGUCGACAACAGAGUUUGAUCCUGGCUCAGCCGAAUUCGUCGACAACAGAGUUUGAUCCUGGCUCAGCCGAAUUCGACCGAAUUCGUCGACAACAGAGUUUGAUCCUGGCUCAGCCGAAUUCGUCCGAAUUCGUCGACAACAGAGUUUGAUCCUGGCUCAGCCGAAUUCGUCCGAAUUCGUCGACAACAGAGUUUGAUCCUGGCUCAGGAUGAACGCUGGCGGCGUGCUUAACACAUGCAAGUCGAACGGUGAAGCUCAGCUUGCUGGGUGGAUCAGUGGCGAACGGGUGAGUAACACGUGAGCAACCUGCCCCGGACUCUGGGAUAAGCGCUGGAAACGGCAUCUAAUACUGGAUACGAGCAGCGGAGGCAUCUCCAGCUGCUGGAAAGAUUUUUUGGUCUGGGAUGGGCUCGCGGCCUAUCAGCUUGUUGGUGAGGUAAUGGCUCACCAAGGCGUCGACGGGUAGCCGGCCUGAGAGGGUGACCGGCCACACUGGGACUGAGACACGGCCCAGACUCCUACGGGAGGCAGCAGUGGGGAAUAUUGCACAAUGGGCGGAAGCCUGAUGCAGCAACGCCGCGUGAGGGACGACGGCCUUCGGGUUGUAAACCUCUUUUAGCA